UACGGAGGGGGGCAAAUGUUGUUCGGAAUCACUGGGCGUAAAGGGAGCGUAGGCGGGUUUCUAAGUCAGGUGUUUAAUCCCGGGGCCCAGCCCCGGACAGGCACUUGAAACUGGGAAUCUUGAAUAGUGGAGAGGUCAGUGGAAUUGGGGUGUAGCGGUGGAAUGCGUAGAGAUCCCCAAGAACACCAGUUGCGAAGGCGGCUGACUGGACACAUAUUGACGCUGAGGCUCGAAAGCAUGGGGAGCAAACAGG
rnacentral:rRNA from 1 species